AGGGAUAUUGGUCAAUGGGGGAAACCCUGAACCAGCAACGCCGCGUGAGGGAAGACGGUUUUCGGAUUGUAAACCUCUGUCCUCUGUGAAGAUAAUGACGGUAGCAGAGGAGGAAGCUCCGGCUAACUACGUGCCAGCAGCCGCGGUAAUACGUAGGGAGCAAGCGUUGUCCGGAUUUACUGGGUUUAAAGGGUGCGUAGGCGGUCCGGAAAGUCAGCGGUAAAAGCCCGGGGCUCAACCCCGGCGAGCCGUUGAAACUGUCGGACUAGAGACGGCGAGAAGUACGCGGAAUGCGCGGUGUAGCGGUGAAAUGCAUAGAUAUCGCGCAGAACUCCGAUUGCGAAGGCAGCGUACCGGCGCCGGCCUGACGCUGAGGCACGAAAGCGUGGGUAUCGAACAG
rnacentral:rRNA from 1 species